UUAUGAUAAAAUACAAGAAGAAGUCCUGUGAAUAACAGAACUUCCCAUGUAGAGCCGUAAAAGACGGUGACUAAACAUUAUAACGACAAAUAA
rnacentral:sRNA from 1 species